rnacentral:rRNA from 1 species
CAGUCGCCGCGGGAAAACGUAGGGCGCAAGCGUUAUCCGGAAUUAUUGGGCGUAAAGAGCUCGUAGGCGGUUUGUCGCGUCUGCCGUGAAAGUCCGGGGCUCAACCCCGGAUCUGCGGUGGGUACGGGCAGACUAGAGUGAUGUAGGGGAGACUGGAAUUCCUGGUGUAGCGGUGAAAUGCGCAGAUAUCAGGAGGAACACCGAUGGCGAAGGCAGGUCUCUGGGCAUUAACUGACGCUGAGGAGCGAAAGCAUGGGGAGCGAACAGGAUUAGAUACCCCAGUAGUCCCUGUCUCUUAUAC